CGUAGGCGGGACGGCCAAGGGUACACUGUGCGGAGAACCGUCCGCUCCCCUUAGACGGUGCCAGCAGCCGCUCCUCUUCCCCAAAAACAAUGAGACAGACGAGGUCAUCACCUCCAUCAACGUUCCUUUAGGGGUUGAGGAGUGCCAGCAGGCAAACAAUGACUGCCCUGAGGAACCUGAAGAGAAGGAGCACCA